ACCCUCCCCACUACGGGUAGGUAUAACCCCCUCUAACCCUCCCCACUACGGGUAGGUCUAACCCCCUCUAACCCUCUCCACUACGGGUAGGUCUAACCCCCUCUAACCCUCCCCACUACGGGUAGGUCUAACCCCCUCUAACCCUCCCCACUACGGGUAGGUCUAACCCCCUCUAACCCUCUCCACUACGGGUAGGUCUAACCCCCUCUAACCCUCUCCACUACGGGUAGGUCUAACCCCCUCUAACCCUCCCCACUACGGGUAGGUCUAACUCUCCCCGCUACGGGUAGGUCUAACUCUCCCCGCUACGGGUAGGUCUAACUCUCCCCGCUACGGGUAGGUCUAACUCUCCCCGCUACGGGUAGGUCUAACUCUCCCCGCUACGGGUAGGUCUAACUCUCC